UACGAAGGGUGCAAACGUUGCUCGGAAUCAUUGGGCGUAAAGCGCACGUAGGCGGCCCCAUAAGUCGGAUGUGAAAUCCCUCGGCUCAACCGAGGAAGUGCAUCCGAAACUGCGGGGCUCGAGUAUGGAAGAGGGUCGCAGAAUUCCCGGUGUAGAGGUGAAAUGCGCAGAUAUCAGGAAGAACACCCGUGGCUAAGGCGGCUCUCUAGUACGGUACUGACGCUGAGACGCGAAAGCGUGGGGAGCGAACAGG
rnacentral:rRNA from 1 species